AUUGAACGCUGGCGGCAGGCCUAACACAUGCAAGUCGAACGAGUGGCGGACGGGUGAGUAAUGUCUGGGAAACUGCCUGAUGGAGGGGGAUAACUCCUGGAAACGGUAGCUAAUACCGCAUACCAUCGGAUGUGCCCAGAGGGGAUUAGCUAGUAGGUGGGGUAAAGGCUCACCUAGGCGACGAUCCCUAGCUGGUCUGAGAGGAUGACCAGCAAAGCUGGAACUGAGGCACGGGCCAGAAUCCUACGGGAGGCAGCAGUGGGGAAUAUUGCACAAUGGGCGCAAGCCUGAUGCAGCCAGGCCGCGUGUAUGAAGAAGGCCUUCGGGUUGUAAAGGACUUUCAGCGGGGAGGCGUUACCCGCAGAAGAAGCACCGGCUAACUCCGUGCCAGCAGCCGCGGUAAUUC
rnacentral:rRNA from 1 species